rnacentral:rRNA from 1 species
AGGACAAACGCUGGCGGCGUACUUAAGACAUGCAAGUCGAACGGGCGCUUCACCUUCGGGUGGGUGUGCUAGUGGCGGACGGGUGAGUAACGCGUAGGAACCUGUCAUCAAGAGGGGGAUAACGCUGGGAAACCGGCGCUAAUACCGCAUGUGGUCAUGAAAAUGAAGAAAGCAGCAAUGCGCUUGAUGAGGGGCCUGCGUCCGAUUAGCUUGUUGGUGGGGUAAAGGCCUACCAAGGCAUCGAUCGGUAGCUGGUCUGAGAGGAUGGUCAGCCACACUGGGACUGAGACACGGCCCAGACUCCUACGGGAGGCAGCAGUUAGGAAAUUUUCCCAAUGGGCGCAAGCCUGAGGGAGUAACGCCGCGUGGAGGAUGACGGCUUUCGGGUUGUAAACUCCUUUCUGUGGGAAGAGUAGAAGACGGUACCGCAGGAAUAAGCCUCGGCUAACUACGCGCCAGCAGCCGC